rnacentral:lncRNA from 1 species
GAAACUUUCCUUAUAUAGUUCCUAUGGAUUUGAUAGUAUGAAAGUGAAAGGUCUGGAGGUAUCAUAUUUUGCAUUUAUCAGGAGCCUAAGGCUGCCAGUGACCAACACCUAGAAUAUGGGAAUGAAGGAAGCCAACCUUCAGGAGCCAGAAUACAGAGAUGAGACCUGGUGGUCAUUUGUUUCUAAAUAAAGCUGUACCUGAAGAUAUCAUUCCCCAAAGACCCUGCAAUUAUAUGAGACAACGGUUACAUUUUUUGUUUAUGGCAAUUUAAGUUGAAUUUUCCAGUGUUGUCUGAUGAUGACAACCGCCUUUAAGUUUUGUUUAUCUAAUAUUGGAGUGAA